rnacentral:rRNA from 1 species
AGUCGAACGGUAACGCGGAGAGAAGCUUGCUUCUCACCGGCGACGAGUGGCGAACGGGUGAGUAAUACAUCGGAACGUGUCCGCUCGUGGGGGACAACCAGCCGAAAGGUUGGCUAAUACCGCAUGAGUUCUACGGAAGAAAGAGGGGGACCCGCAAGGGCCUCUCGCGAGCGGAGCGGCCGAUGACUGAUUAGCCGGUUGGUGAGGUAACGGCUCACCAAAGCAACGAUCAGUAGCUGGUCUGAGAGGACGACCAGCCACACUGGGACUGAGACACGGCCCAGACUCCUACGGGAGGCAGCAGUGGGGAAUUUUGGACAAUGGGCGCAAGCCUGAUCCAGCUAUUCCGCGUGUGGGAUGAAGGCCCUCGGGUUGUAAACCACUUUUGUAGAGAACGAAAAGACACCUUCGAAUAAAGGGUGUUGCUGACGGUACUCUAAGAAUAAGCACCGGCUAACUACGUGCCAGCAGCCGCGGUAAUACGUAGGGUGCGAGCGUUAAUCGGAAUUACUGGGCGUAAAGGGUGCGCAGGCGGUUGAGUAAGACAGAUGUGAAAUCCCCGAGCUUAACUCGGGAAUGGCAUAUGUGACUGCUCGACUAGAGUGUGUCAGAGGGAGGUGGAAUUCCACGUGUAGCAGUGAAAUGCGUAGAUAUGUGGAAGAACACCGAUGGCGAAGGCAGCCUCCUGGGACAUAACUGACGCUCAGGCACGAAAGCGUGGGGAGCAAACAGGAUUAGAUACCCUGGUAGUCCACGCCCUAAACGAUGUUAACUAGUUGUUGGGAAGUAAAAUUCUCAGUAACGCAGCCAACGCGAGAAGUUAACCGCCUG